UACGGAGGGGAGCUAGCGUUGUUCGGAAUUACUGGGCGUAAAGCGCACGUAGGCGGCUUUGCAAGUUAGAGGUGAAAGCCCGGGGCUCAACUCCGGAAUUGCCUUUAAAACUGCAUCGCUAGAGUUGUGGAGAGGUAAGUGGAAUUCCGAGUGUAGAGGUGAAAUUCGUAGAUAUUCGGAAGAACACCAGUGGCGAAGGCGACUUACUGGACACAUAUUGACGCUGAGGUGCGAAAGCGUGGGGAGCAAACAGG
rnacentral:rRNA from 1 species